AACGUAGCGAAAUACGAUAAGUAAUAUAAAUUAUAGAAUUUAGUAAAUUAUUGAAUUUUUAAACGCAUAUUGCGCUCGCUAGUAUUCUAGCGAGUAUACUUAUUUGAGCGU